rnacentral:rRNA from 1 species
CCUACGGGAGGCAGCAGUGAGGAAUAUUGGUCAAUGGACGAGAGUCUGAACCAGCCAAGUAGCGUGAAGGAUGACUGCCCUAUGGGUUGUAAACUUCUUUUAUAUGGGAAUAAAACGUUCCACGUGUGGGAUUUUGUAUGUACCAUAUGAAUAAGGAUCGGCUAACUCCGUACCAGCAGCCGCGGUAAUACGGAGGAUCCGAGCGUUAUCCGGAUUUAUUGGGUUUAAAGGGAGCGUAGGUGGAUUGUUAAGUCAGUUGUGAAAGUUUGCGGCUCAACCGUAAAAUUGCAGUUGAAACUGGCAGUCUUGAGUACAGUAGAGGUGGGCGGAAUUCGUGGUGUAGCGGUGAAAUGCUUAGAUAUCACGAAGAACUCCGAUUGCGAAGGCAGUUCACUGGACUGCAACUGACACUGAGGCUCGAAAGUGUGGGUAUCAAACAGGAUUAGAUACCCCAGUAGUC